GUUUCUAUUACUAGAUUAUUUCAGACAAGUUUUCAAUUGGGGUUUAUCAUGGUUGGGCCCUUCUCAAGAGACGGACCCAAAAGACAAUAUGGUGCACAGUGGUGUAUCGCUUCGGCUGGGAGUCUGGUAGGACUCGACCAACCUUGGCAGAAAUCAGUAAUGAUCCAACCGCAGGUUCACCUACGGUUA
rnacentral:misc_RNA from 1 species